CCCCCCUCCCUCCGCCCGCCCCCCCCCCCACGAUCACCCGCGGGUACGCUAUGGUAAUUUCACCCUCUCGGCCAUCUUUCACCACGAACCUCAUAUCUCCGGUUGGGUGUUGAGGGAGAAUGGAGACGAGCGACAGCGUGAAGCUCCGAGGUUUCCGGCGCCCACACCGUGCUUGGGGUUUUCCAGGGCCACCCCCACGGUCUCUCCGAGAAGGGUUACCGGGAGGUGACCUUCUACAUGCACGGCGCCGACCGGUCCUCCGGCCGAGAUUUAGGACGUGGUCGCCGUCUGCAAGUGGGUUUUCGAGACCCUGUCCCCCAAUGGGUUCAUCUUGGUUGGUUCCUCCGUCGGUAGCCUGGUAUACUCUCUCUCUCUCUCUCUCAAAAUCUUGGUGAGAGUUUGCGUUGGUUUGAGAUUCAAAUUUUCAAGGUGUUUCUCUUGCCUUAUUUUAUGCCUAGAGAGUUAUGAAUUGGGUCUAGAUUUCAUAUUGAGACACUGUUCAUGCGGUUGCGUUUUAUGGGCUGUUAGCUUGGGAUCAUUGGGAUACUUAUUUUUGGCCCCACGUUUUUUAGUUCUUGGAUUUGUGAUCUUUGGCUUGUGGUUUCUUUUGUGUACUUUUUUUUUUUUUCCUUUGGAUUGCUUGGUUGAUUGGUUUGUGUGAUGGAAUUCUGGGUUUGAGAGAGAGACUGAUUGCUUGAUGAGAUGGGAUUUUCAGUGAUUUUGAGGUUGUGUUUUAUGAUGGAUAUAGAAGAAAUUGGCCAAAUGUAACUGUUUGUGAUACUGAAGUUAAGUCUUUGCUGAAAAGAAUAUGUGCUAUGCUUUCAUUUAGGUUGUAUAGUUCGGUAUCAGAUCAAGCGUUCUUUUACUUGUGUAUCGAGUAAUUUAUGUUUGUGUUUCCACAUUUGAUGAUUGUUUACUGUUUUUUUUUAUGCCAAAUAGUGUUUUCAUAUCAGGGGGGUACCAUGGCUUUGUUUACUUAUUUUGUUCAGUUUUAGAGGCUUGGGGGUUCAACGUCUAAAUGACGAAUAGGUUGCAAGCUAGCACCAUCUAAGUUAUUCCUCUGAUAUCAGUCAUGCUAUUGGUUGCUCAGACAUGCAACUCUCUCUCCCUUUUUUUUUUUUUUUGAAUGGAAAGACAUGCAACUUGUUAAAUUAGUUUUAUGGAUUAAACAUAAAUGCAUUCGGAUAAGGGGUCUAGUCCCAUGAAAUAGGAGACAAGUGCUUGUCAAGUUUCUGUUAUUAUAUUUUACUAAAUGCUAUAAAAGACGGAUAUGAAAUGGAAAAAACUAGAGAUAAAGCAAACUGGAA
rnacentral:lncRNA from 1 species